rfam:Salmo salar isolate Sally breed double haploid chromosome ssa17, whole genome shotgun sequence.
AUUAUUCACUACUGUAAGUCUCUCUGGAUAAGAGAGUCUGCUUAAUGACUCACU